GACGCAGAUAAGUGGACUUUCUCACCCUGGAAACAAAGGAUAAUCGAAUGGGACAAAGAAACACUAAUCCAACAAAAGGACUAUUGACAGACCUGCAGCACUGGCUGAGAGGCACCAGGAUGGACAGUUCAUCAUGGGAGUGUUUUCCAAACCUGCAGGGUGGAUAUAAAGCUCAAAGUGAAUAAUGAAGGUGUCGUUUCCAAAUUUCUCAAAAGUUUCAUAAUGAUGGCGAUCCAUGUUACCUGUAUAAGGAGAGAAGAAAAU